CGUAGGGUGCGAGCGUUAAUCGGAAUUACUGGGCGUAAAGCGUGCGCAGGCGGUUUUGUAAGACAGAUGUGAAAUCCCCGGGCUCAACCUGGGACCUGCAUUUGUGACUGCAAGGCUGGAGUACGGUAGAGGGGGAUGGAAUUCCGCGUGUAGCAGUGAAAUGCGUAGAUAUGCGGAGGAACACCGAUGGCGAAGGCAAUCCCCUGGACCUGUACUGACGCUCAUGCACGAAAGCGUGGGGAGCAAACAGGAUUAGAUACCCUGGUAGUCCACGCCCUAAACGAUGUCAACUGGUUGUUGGGUCUUUACUGACUCAGUAACGAAGCUAACGCGUGAAGUUGACCGCCUGGGGAGUACGGCCGCAAGGUUG
rnacentral:rRNA from 1 species